UACGAAGGGGGCUAGCGUUGUUCGGAAUUACUGGGCGUAAAGGGCGCGUAGGCGGUGUGUCAAGUCAGGCGUGAAAGCCCCGGGCUCAACCUGGGAACAGCGCUUGAGACUGGCACGCUCGAGUUCGGGAGAGGAUGGUGGAAUUCCCAGUGUAGAGGUGAAAUUCGUAGAUAUUCGGAGGAACACCAGUGGCGAAGGCGGCUCACUGGUCCGGUACUGACGCUGAGGUGCGAAAGCGUGGGGAGCAAACAGG
rnacentral:rRNA from 1 species